UACAGAGGUCCCGAGCGUUGUUCGGAUUCAUUGGGCGUAAAGGGUGCGUAGGCGGCGGGGAAAGUCUGAUGUGAAAUCCUGGGGCUCAACCCUGGAACUGCAUUGGAUACUUCCUUGCUAGAGUACUGGAGAGGAAACUGGAACUUACGGUGUAGCAGUGAAAUGCGUAGAGAUCGUAAGGAAGACCAGUGGCGAAGGCGAGUUUCUGGACAGUUACUGACGCUGAGGCACGAAGGCCAGGGGAGCAAACGGG
rnacentral:rRNA from 1 species